rfam:Dipodomys ordii contig_25425, whole genome shotgun sequence.
GGGAAAGUGGCUCAGUGGUAGAGUGCUUGCCUUGCAUGUAGGAAGCCCUGGGUUCAAUUCCUCAGCACCA